rnacentral:lncRNA from 1 species
CUCCACUCCUGCCACUAUUAUUUCUAGUUACCCAUUAUAAUUUGUGUCUUCUUUCUACAUUUACCCAAAGUACCCCCAUCUACUACUACAGAGUCACACAACUAGUAGGUUAAUAUCUGAGGUAGGUUUUGAAUCCAGGUCCAACUUGUCAUACUGCCUCACUAUACCAUGUAGUAAGCAAAGGAAGAUUGCAAAAGGAUUUUGCAAAAUGAACUUCAUUUGAUUAACAGGGACAUGUGACAGAAUCACAUGGGAGCCUGGAUCAAGAUUCUAAGGUCCCAACUGAAAAAAAACAACCAUCUCUUGGAGGAAGUUUUUGGAGAUAGCUGGAAUUUCCAUCUUUUCUACUAGGUUUCUGGCCCUUUGUAAAAUACCAGCUUUAGCGGAGAAAAAACAAAAAAACAAAAAACAAAAAAAAACUGUUUUUACCCGCUGCUGGCAGCUGGAUAGAAGACCAAAGAAGAACCACUUCUCUGCUGGACCUACUUUGGACAUUUCCUCUGGGAUCUUGGCUCAUUUACUGGACUCAGUUUACUGUGAGUGCAAAUCCAAAUGUGAAUCUCACCAGCCCAUGAGAGUGUCUCCAGCCAAGUGUAUCACCAACCAAAAGAGAGUCUGAUGCUGCAAAGACUGAGCCUCACUGAAUAGAGUAUUGCACUGAAGACAGGAAAAGAGCUGAAAAGCCAUUGUCUUCAGCCAGGAUCUCCUCUACCCAAGCAAGUCACCAAAGCUGAACUCCUUGAGCUUCCUACACAGAAUCCUGCUUUCAGCAAGAAUCUCCAAUGCAGAAUCUCCAAUCCAGAACAAAUCCAAUGCAUAAUCAGAAAGCCGAAAUCAGAAACUGAAUCUGAAAUGGGAAUCCAAAAUGGGAAUCUGAAAUCAAAGUGCCUCACUUCCUGUGGGGUCUCACCUUAUAACCACUUUUCUCCACCCAACAAUACUCCCACAUCACAUCUCAGGAACCAAUCAUAGUUCCUUAAUUUGUCUAGCACCACAGUGGGAGGGGGGAUGUUGGGGGAAAAUGGACUGCUUGUGGGAUUCAUUUCUGGUCUUUGAGUGUGUGAAUUUCCUUUUCUAAUAAAAGGUUCUUCAAAUGCCUAAGUGUGAAAGGA